GUGUGUGUGUGUCUGAAUGAGGGAAGCGUGUGUUGUGUAUGUACGCGAAGAAGCGGCGGCAGCAGCAGCAGCGGCGGCUGUAUUUAGAAGAGGCGGCGGAGCCGGCCGGCCGCGCCCGAAAGGGGCCAUUCUUCAAGAGUCUUCGUGAGUAUGUUUCUUUCGUAAGUGACCAGGCAGAAAACUGGGCUGCAGUGCGUUUUGCAGCUGGAAACACCCAGCUGAAGCGCGGGGCCUCUUAGCCCGAGGUUUUGAAAGUUCGUCGCGACAAUCCAAGGAGCGCCGUUUACUCGUGGAGGUUGUGGAAAGAGGAAGGGAAGAAGAAGAAGAAAAGAUGGAGGAGUGAGAACAGAAACCAGAGAGAGAGAGAGAGAGAGAGAGCAACGGCUAACAAUUCAAUCUCUCUCUCGCUCUCCCGAAGAACUGACUAUCCGCCGCUGGGGGCGUGGAGCACUGCCGCAGCCGCCGUCCGCGUCAAUUCACCAGGAGUGUCGUCGUCCUCCCCGGUUCAGCUCCAGGGCUCGGUCGGAACCACACCCUGGCCAGGUCUCCCUCAAGUCGUCGAGAGGACUUGGUCAGCACGCAGGAUCCCCCGCCUUUCCUCCCACCCGUCCGGACCGGGCUGCAAGGCCAGCGCUCGGGGUUGGUUUUUUUGCCUGUCAAAAACGUGUGUAUGUUGCUGUAGGAAAUGUACGUAUUUGUUGAGAAAAAUCCGGGAGGGAGGAUUAGGAGGAGAAGAAGAACGGAUAAUUUAAGUGUUGACUUUUUUUUUUUUGCUCUGGUCAAAAAGCGGAGGAGAAAACCCACCAGAGAAAAGGAGGCGUCCGCAAGAAUGGAGAAGGGGAAUCCUAUUUGCUUCUCCCUAGAACCGAGGACGAUGCGGGAGAAGAACGAAAAGUGUUAAUCGGCGCCGCCCGCCCCAUGUUGCUUAAUUUGUUUCUGCCUUAAUCUCGACGCCUUUGGCCGACGGCCCCAAUUGCUCCCCACGGGCAAACGUUCUGCGGACCCUUCCGCCCACGCCGCUGCUCCGCUUCCCACGGAAGUCGCGCUUGCCUUUACCCUCCUCCCCGUUGCGCCCACUCUACUCUCUUUCGCGCGCUCGUCCGCCCCGUGACAGCGAGCGGAGAAACCGCGGCCCUUCAAGUCUGCGCUAUGCAGCGGCUCUAGUUCCUUGACUGCAUUAGCGCGAGCGGGCGCGCGUGCUCGCAGGAAGCAACCCGGACAAGCAAGCGGCGAUCAAUUAGUCCUGACGGCAACGAAGAAGCGUUCGGCAGACGCAGCUGCAUCAAGUCUUCGAAGGAAAAGGGGGGAAAAAAUGCCCAUUAGAGAGAGAGAGAGGAGGAGGGAGUGCGGGGACAGCCCUCAUCCAAGAAAACAAGAAGCAAACGAAUUAAAUAUAUCCUAUUCACACACACAAACACCCGCGCGCCUUUAGAUUCGGAGGCUGCUUCAGCCGAAGUAAUGGCAUCGGUUUGCACGAACGGCGAUUUUAACCGCUCGGAACUUGCAGGCGAGCCAGGCAGGGUUGGGUUCCCUGUUCUUUCCAAUCGGCCAGAUUGGCAAUUUAAUCAGGCUCGUAGGGGAGAGAACCCGCGCUUUCAAGGAAAUGAAAGCAAAAGCCCAUUAGCAAGCGUUUAGGCAGCAAUUGCGGUGAUCAAGUAAAAAGCUGAACCUCGCGGGAGUUCAGGGCUCGGGUAAUAUUUGCUGGGCGGGACAAGGGGCGAGGCAUGAAAGAGGCAGAAAUUAGCCUGCCCUUGGGUCCGCGUUGGCAGCUUUAAAAGCCAUUCCAGUAAAUUCGCGGUCCUGCUUAAAAUCAUCUUGCUGCGAAGUUUUUUUGUUUUUAACGCGUGCGUUUGCAUCCGUUCAGAUCGUCUUUUUUUUUUUUUAUGCUUCCUCCGUAUUGGACAGAGGAAGAAUUGUUACGUUUUUUUAACAUUUGGGCCUCAGUCACUCUCUCACUUUCUGUGGCUUCCCAUACAGGGAGACUUGAGUUAAUCCACCAAGGGAGCAUAGCACACAAAGCUCCACCAUGUGGCAAGAGCGCAUCAGUCACUGGGUACUGAGUACUGGAAAUAGCAGUUGAAUAAAAGAAAUGGCUUCUCCCUGAAUUCUGACAAGUCAAAGGCUGCCAGCAAGUGGAGAGAAAGGGGGGGGGGGAUAAUCACUUAGCGAUGCUUUGAGAAGCAGCCUCUCAAACAUUCAUCUCCAGCAGUAUUGGAUGUAUUACUGUUGCCCAUCCCUAUUCACAUGGGUGGAAACAUUAAAGGCUCAAGAGCUGGUAGAGAAGUGAAGUUAGACCCACCCACCCACCCCACUCACCUCAAGAUUUGGCUGAUCUUUCAAGAUUAACCAAAAUCAAUGCCACUGCAUUAAAACAUUGAUCCCAUUAAAGCAUGUCAUGUACAAGUUCUGAUUUGCUGUAUAUGUAUUUAUUUGCAACCAUUGGUUUUAGCAAAAUUAGUUCUAAUUUGGAGAUAGGCAAAGAGUCCAGCGUUGCUAGGCUGGAGCACAGCUCCUUAAACAGACCAAAGUAGUACCAUAACAAUGAAUAGUUAUACAUGGCAGUAAUCAUCUCCAAAAGGGGGGGAAAACCUAUUUAUCAAGGCAUCAUUGUGAAAGAGAUAGAGAAAUCUAAGAGAAAAUGAUUUCUAUAGUAGCAUAUAUAACUGGCAGAAUUCAGCUAAUUUUGGCUGAUCUCAAAAAAGCUUGUUGGUAACCAGCUAAACAUGUUAGUUAGUACUUUGAUGAGAGACCACUAAAAUCCCAUGGAAAUGGGAUAUAAACUAAACGGGGGGAAUUAAAAAUAAACCCUUGAAGAAAGCAACAACAAAAUGCUUAUGCUCUGUUGCUAAAGUAAAAUCAUCAUGGGGUAGGAUUGCCCUGCGGGACACUUGAAUAGCAUUGCAGAAGAUUCAAAAUCUGAAUUCUAGCUUAAUAGUUGACCCCAACUUUGUAUGCCAAGACAAACAGCCUGAUGCCCUUAGGAGCUCCCAUCUGGCCCAGUACUUAGCCAAUACUUGUCUUGCUGCUUCAAUUUUUGAGUGCAGUGCCUGAACCCCAGGCCUUUGAUGUGAGCUGUGACUUUUAAGGAUAAAAUAUGUCAAUUACACAAAUGGUUCCAGUCCUCUUUGAUGUGUUGAUAGAAUAAGUCCACUUUCUUUUUCGCUUGAUGGUGCUACUACUACUUCUAUUGCCCCUUUUGAAUAUUCCCAAACCCAUCUGGUAUCUUACUUGGCAUGUGAGUGGCCAACUGGCAACUAGAGUUGCAUCCAUAACUACAACUCCUCUUUGUCAGCCACGUCUGAUUGAACAGAUUUUCUUUCCCAUAUGAAAUAAAAGGAGCCUCCAUGGUCAUUACAUUCUCACACAGAUUUUUUCAUGUUGCCUUUUGAUCUUGCCCCGGGAGUGAUAAUUGCUAAGCUCCAGGCAACUUGUGCCAAAGUCUGAAUUCCAGACUUGAAAUUCCCUGCAGUUAAAUAAAUUUCAGUUUUCAUUGUUCUGAGGAGCAAAUCACUGUGAAUGUUUUCUGGUUGGACUACCUAUGAGUUUCCUCCAUACAUAGCAGCCUGAUUUUUCAUUAUCAAAAUACUUUUCCACCAUAUUUCUAAAUAAACAAUAAAAGCCACCCAUAAAAGUAACAUUUCAAGAUCAAAUUCAUUUUUGUCAAUUUAUUUCAGCAUUCUUUUUCUCAUUGCUUGAUAUAGAUUUUGAGGAGUGAACAAUUUGAAUGUGGAUAAAUAAAAGUAAUAAUUCUUU